UACGUAGGGUGCGAGCGUUGCCCGGAUUUAUUGGGCGUAAAGGGCGCGUAGGCGGCCACGCACGUCCGUUGUGAAAGCCCCCGGCUCAACUGGGGAGGGUCACGCGAUACUGUUCGACUCGAAGGCAGGAGAGGGAAGUGGAAUUCCCGGUGUAGUGGUGAAAUGCGUAGAUAUCGGGAGGAACACCAGUGGCGAAGGCGACUUCCUGGCCUGUUCUUGACGCUGAGGCGCGAAAGCUAGGGUAGCAAACGGG
rnacentral:rRNA from 1 species